rnacentral:lncRNA from 1 species
AUAUAUAGCAGGGGAUUUGAGGACAGGUCUAGCCCAUCAACGUGGUGUUGACUGAACACAGCAAUGCGAACCUGUUUGAUAUAACAAUGUCAGUUUCCUUGAGCAUAACAUGUCAAGACCAAUAUUAGCUUUCACCAAUGCUACAGUUGAUGUAGUAAUGUCAGUCUCCUUCAACCAAACAUGUAUACAACCACUAGUGGUUUUUGUUAAGCUGACCAGUUUGUUAUCAAUCGUAUGUCACAUAAUGUCAGCCCCAUUUAAAAUGCAAAAAUAUAUCACUGUCCUUGAGCAUAACACGUCAAGACCAAUAUUAGCUUUCACCAAUGCGACAGUUGAUGUAGUAAUGUCAGUCUCCUUCAACCAAACAUGUAUACAACCACUAGUGGUUUUUGUUAAGCUGACCAGUUUGUUAUCAAUCGUAUGUCACAUAAUGUCAGGCCCAUUUAAAAUGCAAAAAUAUAUCACUGUACUUUGUGUAUAACUGGUAGUUAAUCCAAUUUUGAAUAUCCAAAUCCCCUUAAAAUUAAUGUCAUUUUUCACCAACGCAAGGAGCAAUGAU